GUUUCCCUAGUGUGGUGGUUAUCACGUUCGCCUAACGUGCGAAAGGUCCGUAGUUCAAAACUGUGCGGAAACA